UCUUCCGCACAGUGUGACUCCUUGUUUUCUUUUGGGCAAUCCAAGGACUCGACGAGCGGCAACUGGUCUGGAUGGAUUGAAUCCGAUUAUAU